GACGAACGCUGGCGGCGUGCUUAACACAUGCAAGUCGAACGAUGAAGAAAAGAAUCGAAGCUUCGGCAGAAAUUCAUUUCGGAUUAGUGGCAGACGGGUGAGUAACGCGUGAGCAACCUACCUCUUACAAAGGGAUAGCCUCGGGAAACCGGGAUUAAUACCAUAUAACAUUGCGACGAAGCAUUUCGAUGCAAUCAAAGCUACGGCGGUAAGAGAUGGGCUCGCGUCCCAUUAACCGGAUGGUGAGGUAACGGCUCACCAUAGUGACGAUGGGUAACCGGCCUGAGAGGGUGAACGGUCACACUGGAACUGAGACACGGUCCAGACUCCUACGGGAGGCAGCAGUGGGGAAUAUUGUACAAUGGAGGGAACUCUGAUGCAGCGACGCCGCGUGAGUGAUGAAGGAAUUCGUUUCGUAAAACUCUGUUCUAUGGGAAGAAAAGGACUGUACCAUAGGAGAAAGCUCCGGCUAAAUACGUG
rnacentral:rRNA from 1 species